CUAAGGAUAUAACGGAACCGUCACAGUUGUUUUACUUUGUUCAGUUUUGAGAGGUUAAUAGCCUUUUUUUUAUUUGAACCCCUUUUGGGGCCUUAGCUCAGCUGGGAGAGCGCCUGCCUUGCACGCAGGAGGUCAGCGGUUCGAUCCCGCUAGGCUCCAUUGCGAUGAAAUCGCAAAAGAAUAGAAUUGUUCUUUGAAAACUGGAUAGUGUUUAACAUGUAAGAAAAGCAAGAAACCAAGAAAACAUCGCGUUUUAUUUUUUAAUGCAUUUCUUCACCAUGAGGUGAAUGAAAUAGUUAACAUGACCAUA
rnacentral:tRNA from 1 species